AUGGACCGGCGCCUCCCCCAGGACGCAGCUGCUGGGGGGAAGGGAGACGCUGCGGACCCCGGCUGGGCAGCAGAGACCUCGGAGGUGGACAGGCCACCCGCCCCCCCCUUUGUCCAGCUGGGACACGGAGUGGCCACGGGCCUCCUCCCCCACCCCUCCAGUCCCCCCACCGGCCCCUCCAGUCCCCCCUCAUCGCCGCGUCCCCCUCAGAGCUAGAGACACGGGCCCCUGCGCGGCCCGAGAGGCAGAGCUGGGCGUCACCUCCCGAGCGUCCUGCCCUGCCGGGGUGCGGGGGUGGGCUCUGGGGAAGCCGGCGCGCCCGCCACGCCUCCGCUGCCAGUGCCUUACAUUCUGGAGCGACCCCCGUCCCCGGUGCCUCCCAGCCCAGGGGGACGCAGUUUGCACUUUCAUCGUCCGCCCCCCCGCAGGGCACCCCGCCAGAGGAUGCGACUCAUGGCUGGGUCCCCAGAGAGAAGAGGCUGGCGCCAGUGCCAGUGGGUCCUCGCUCGGGAUGGGGAGGGCUUUGGGUGGGGGUUCGGCGUCGCACCUCGGGGCCCCCCGCGGCCGUGUAGGGGGCCUUCCAUCUGCUAAGCGUUUUCCGUUGAGCCGCUCCAAAAACACUAAGCUGGGGACGCCAGGUCCCCCCACCCCACCCCGGCUCCCCGGCCCCACCCACACCUCCACCUCCACCCCGGGAUCGCCAUCUUUAGGGGAGGCCUCGGGGGAGGUGUUAGGUGUUUUAGGGCCACCGAGCUCAAACACAAGGACCCCUCCCAGCCCAGCCCCAACUGACCUCCAUGCCUAGGGGGAAACCCCCCCCCCCCGCCACAGCCCCCACCCAGGCCAAAGCCAGGGCAGGGCCUCCGGGUCUCACCUGCUCCCAGCCUCGCUCCACCCCCCCCCCAACCUGUCCCGAAAACCAGACUCUCCUCCCAAACCAGCCCCAGGGGCUUGGCGAACACGCUCGCUCCUAAAGAGAAAGACCCAGGACCCUUCCCUGUCACCCCCGAGAGGUUCCCCAUCCUCUGGCCUCAGUCCCUUGGUCCGUCCGUCUGUCCUCAGGGCCCUGGCCCCCUGCCCCCACCCCGUGGCCCUUGAGGACCAAGCGUGGGCCGCUCUCCAGGAGGACGGGAGUGGGCGGGGGGCGUAGGGUCGUGCUGUUGGAGUAUCUGGAAGCUUCUCAGCCAGGGUGGGGGUCGUGGGUGGGGGAGGGGGGCCAGCCGGGCUCCCGAGGGGUCAGGGCGCAUCGAGAACCAACUCUUUACCCAACUUUGCAUGGUGCUUAGUCAAGGACUCCUGUGUCCUGGCCCCUGAGGUCGGCUGGCGCGCUGACACACAUGCAUGGCAGAUUAUACCUGGCUCUAUCUCCCUCCCCCUCGCCCCCCUCCACCCCCUACUCCCUCUUUAAAAAAAAAAAAAAGAUACAAAAAAAAAAAACCUUAAAAAAAAUUCCAUGUUUCCUAAUUUGCACGAAAUUUUCUACCACAAAAUGUGCCUUGCCUUCCAAGAAUAAGUAUUACCUUUAAACAAUAUCAGCGCACACACAUAGCUGCAUGUUCUGCUCGUGUAGUUAAAAAAAAAAAAAUACAAAACAGUGACAUGAAAUAAAAAAUAAACAUUGAAAAGGGAUGUAUUUCUAUUUGUAAAAAAAAUAAUAAAAACAAAAAAUAAGAAAGUGAGAAUCUUAAAAAAAAAAAAAGAGGAAGAAAAACCAUGCUAAAAAGUCACUAAAAACAAUUGCCCCCAGGUCUCCCGUCCUCUGGCUCCCUUCUGUUCUGUCUCCCUUCCUGCUGUAUUCAGGGGUGCCCCUGGUGCUCAGCCUCUACCACCCCCAGCCCUGCUCUUGGGUUCCCAGAGGGGUCAUUUCUGAAUCCCCUGCCCAGAGGACAGGCCUCCGGGGCUCAUCCUGGCCCCAGGGAAGGGCUCUCCUCUCCGAUUGGUCCCUGGGCCGUGGGCUGGCAGGUGACACCAUUCACUGACCCACUGCAGGCUAUUCCCCCCCCAGCCAUAGGGUGGCCACCCCGCCCGCAGCCAGACUCCCCCACCCCACCUUCCAUGCAGACUGGCGUACCCCCGCUCAGGGUCAAAUGCUGCCCUCCUCCCCCCUCGGAGGCACUCCCCCUCCCCUGCCCCAUGCACCCCCCACCCUUCUUGCCAAAGGACCCGAUUUUCCCCUCUCCGGAGCCCACCCUCCUCCGUCCCCUUCGCCCUGUCUUCCGUCUUCCAGCUGUGAGUAGGAAGUAUCCGGUAUGAAAAACAAAAAAAACAAAACCUGAUAUAUGCAAUAUCUGUCUGUCUACACCCUUGGGCCUGGCUCAGCCACCGGAGGCCCCGCUGAGGGUCCGGCAGGGCCCAGGACAGCCAGGCGGCACCGAGUCACCGGCCGCGGUCCGGUGGCUGACCAUGCUGUUGUCUUCUCCUUGAUUCUACUUUCUCUUGUCCUUUCUCUUUCUUUUUGUGUUUAACUCCAGCUUCCUUUGCUUUUUUCUGGACCAAAGCUAAGACAAUAGCCAGAUGGUUAGCGGGGCAGCCAGGCAGGGAGGACCCGGGGUGGGAUGCCAGCCUUAGGCUGUUCCUGCAGUCCUCGGCACCUCCAGCCCCUCCCGGGCCCUUCAGGCAUCUCAUGCAGGGACCCACACAGAUGGUCCCAUUCAUUCACCAUUGCCCGCCGCCAGGGUGCCGGGUGGUCUCCACAGCCACCGUCAUACGCUCAUCCCAUGUUUUCUUCCAAAAAGACACCUCAGCAGUCUCCCCAGGCGACACAGAGGGAGAGCCCAGACCCUCACAGCUGGCCAUGACAUUACCCUUAAGAACUGUCCCUUGGUCAGAGAGCCCGGGCUGGCUGUGCCCACCAUCCAUGUCACUGAUGUCUAGCUUUUUUCUUCCCCCUCCUUAGCAAAUGUGUCUUGCCAGGGAACUGGGAACAGCCAGCAGCAAAGGGAGUGGGUGGUUGCCUGGACCAUCACGUCCCUGCACAGCCCACACCCGGGGCCCAGAGCCCCUGCAGAAGGAAGGCCGGGCACCGCCCUCCUCACCCCAAGCUUGCAUCCUGGGCUCACUCAGCACCGUGGCUGAGCACAGCAGGUGAACUCGUGCCGGGCAGCACAUUGUGGAUGGUUUCGUUCCCUCUCCCCCCCCCCUCCCCGUUUCUUGUAAAAGCUACAGGAUCGCCGUAGGGCACAAUUCCUGGGCACCUUCGCUGCAGACAGGCAAAAACACCAGGAACCAGGAUUCCAUGCCCACCUCUGCAGUCUGCGUUCACAGAAGGGAUGCCGUCAUCCCUGGGUGGAGGGGCAAGGUGUGGGUUUUGGUGUUUUUUGUUUGUUUGUUUGUUUGUUUGUAACUUGUAUGAAACUGACAUCUUGAACCUCAUCCCACCCCCUCCCGAAGCCCCCCUCACCCACCCCUGCCAUGGGCACCACACUCAUGCUAAGCCCCCUGGUCUUAUUCUGGGGUCUGCCCAUGCUGUGGGAAAGAAUAGGGAGGCCUCCCAAAUAUAUGCAAAUCAUCUCCAUUCCUUUCUCUGGGCGGAGGGACUUGACACCAACCCAGGUGGAGAUGGAGCCGGACGGAGUAGGAAGGCCCCAGGGGGAGGGGAUCUGGAGUCCUUCACCUCCAGGUCCGGAGCCCAGGUUCUGACCCCAGAACCCCACCCUGGGCUAGACAAUCAGAUCCCAAAGGAAGGCCGAAGGGAACUCGGUUGGGAGAGCUGUUUAGAAGCUAGACCUGCUUGCACCCCCCACCCCCGACAGCUCUCCAGGCAGCAGACAAUUCCAGCCUCCCUGCCCCAGGACCUUCUGUCUGUCCCCAGCGACAGUGGCAUCCCAGGCACGGACAGACUUAGCUGCACCCCAUUGUCCCUUGCAAGACAGGUCUUGGAGCCAGGAGCAACUGUCCAGCCCUCCAGAAGAGACAGCAAGCAGGCCCCCUCCCACCCUGGCCUCCCUAAUGGUACUUUGACCUCCAGUGUAGGGCUACACUAUACAUACAUAUAUAUAUAUAUAUACACACAUACACACACACACACAUAAUUUUGGAAUUUGUCCUAAUACAGAAUAUACAGUGGCUACCUUUUUCUGAGACCCCAGACUUUGCUUGCUUUUUGGAGGGCGCUGGGACAUGCAUCUCUCAGUCCAGCUUCCUCCUCAUCUUCCCAUCUUUCCUCAUUUCUGCCCCAUUGGACACUUAAGGGUCUCACCUCCAGACCUACACCACUGCCCAUCCGUCACUCCGUGGUUCAGUGUCCGGGAUCAGCCCACCACCCUCGGCCUCCCCGCACCGCUGCCCCCGGGGCAAGGUGAGGAGGCGGACCCAAAGCAAUACCAGCAGGACCUGUCGUCAGUGAUACCAAAACAGACUUUUCCCAAGCAGUGCCUCACACGUCCACUGGUGUGGCUUUGAGAUUCUCCUGCCCCUCUUUCCCUGGCAGCCCCUUUCCCCAAGGCUUUGCUCAUACCUGAGGCAGGAAGGAGGAAGGGGAUCCCACAGGAAUAAGGGCUCCAGAGAGGAAGGAAGUCAUGCAUCCCCAAGCCACCACCCCACCAGCCUUCGGCGCACAUCUCCUGGCUGGAAGAGAACCCUCCAGAAAGGGGACAGUGGCUGCCCCAGCCCCUCAACUGCAUCCACACCCCAUCCUCUCAUCUUGGGUCCCAGCCAGGCCCCCCCAAAACCAAAGUCCCCUCAAAUCCAGGGGUCCCAGCCCGUGCCCCCAGCUUCCUGCCCACCCAGCCCCGAACACCCUCACACAGGGAAAGAAGCAAAAGCUCGAUAUGUGGGGACAGGAUGGGACAGGUGAUACAGUGGGGGGUCGGGGGCAGCAAGGAGGAGGGAGAGAGAACAUUUUCCUUUUUGGGUAAUUUUUUUUUCUGUUUUUCUUCCUCCCCCGUUGCUGUUUGGGUGGUGCUGCUUUUCCUUUCCUCUUCCCUUUGAGAUUUUUGUUGGUUUGCUUCCGUUUUGUAUUUUACUGAUAUUACCAGGAUAGUUUACUCUCCUUCUAGCUUUCUGCUUACUGCACACCGGAUAACACACGUACGCACCCACAAAAAUGCUUACAAACCCAACCCAGAGAAGGUUCUGGCUGGGUCCCCCGCCCUCCCCCUCCUCCUGCUCCUCCCGAUGGCGAGGACAGGAGGGGGACCAGGGGACACGUGGGCCGACCCGCCGGCCCUCUCCCCCACCCCGCCCCUCACAUCAUACUCCGAUCAUAACCUUGUAUAUUACGCAGUCAUUUCGGUUUUCGCAGGAGCGCCUACCCAAGUACCAUUUACAGAAAGUGACUCUGGCUGUCAUUACUUUGUUUGUUUGUUCCCUAUGCAAAAAAAAAAAAGAAAAAGAAAAAAGGGGGAUUCCAUAAAAGAUUCAAUAAAAGAUUUAAAAAAAAAAAAAAAAAAGAAAAAAGAAAAAAAAAUGUAUAAAAAUUAAACAAGCUAUGCUUCGACUCUU